CUUAUCAUAAAACGAUUUUUGUUUCAUUAAAAAGGCUGCACGAAAAGAGUUUAAAAAUUAUAAUAUGCUUCUUAUUAGAAAAUGAUUCUCAGCGCAUAAAAUCACUUUAUUUUAUCACAUGAUUUGUUCUAGCCAAUUAAAUAUGUAAACCAAACUUUUGUAAAAUACAGAACAUUCUUAUGAAGGAUGUUUUAUACAAGCUUUCAAAAAAAAUAAUAACCUUGUCAGUCAGAGGCAGACAAACGGACAGACACAGUUUUCGUAUUAUUGUAAGAGAAUAGUUAUUCAAACCCAUGGACAGACAGACAGACAGACAGACAGACAGACAGACAGACAGACAGACAGACAGACAGACAGACAGACAGACAGACAGACAGACAGACAGACAGACAGACAGACAGACAGACAGACAGACAGACAGACAGACAGACAGACAGACAGACAGACAGACAGACAGACAGACAGACAGACAGACAGACAGACAGACAGACAGACAGACAGACAGACAGACAGACAGACAGACAGACAGACAGACAGACAGACAGACAGACAGACAAACAUAGAAGCAUAUGUGUGGUUAGCGGCACCAAAAAUACGUUUGUUAAAAUGCGGGGUUAGCGGCACCAACGUUUUCUUAUCGUAAAUAAACCCUGGGUUGGUUUAAUUGAAUAAAUAAGUCAAUAAACACUCGUUAAGCCAGGUUUGGUUACUUCUAGCACUUCGGAAAUCCGGUGCCGCUAAGCCCUCAAAAAAACAUUCAUGGUUUGUAAAAACACUGCCUUAGCGGCACCAAAAAGUAAUCAAUAUAAUUUUAUUUUAAUUACUUAUUUUAAAACUUUUAUGGCUUAUAGGAAAGAUAUGGAGUGAGCUUUUAUUCCUAAUCACAUGUUUUUGUUGUAUCUUAACCCGGUUCCGCUAUACCCACAAAAUGCCAUUGCCCAAAAGUUUGUUUAUCAUUUGGAUAUUGACAUUUUGGGUGUUUAAUGGCACCAAGAGAAGAGCAAGAUUAAAGUUGCACACUGAGGUAUUUUAAGCCGACAUUUUUGAUUUGAUAGCAAAAAUAAAGGACAAUACUAAAAAGCAUGAAUAGCAGAGGGAGGAGAAUAAAGAACUGAUUUAACUAGAAACUUUAAAAAAAGUGAAACUAAGGAAUGGAAAAUCCUUGAUAUGGAUAUAUGUUAUCAUCUAAAAGUGAAAGGGGAUGUUCCACGAGCUGUUGGCAACACCCAAAUUUGACCUGAACGCUUGGACAGAAAUGUAGUGAACAUGCAGAAUGAAAUAAUAUUGACGAAAGGUGUACUAAAAACGUUCCUUUGUAUUGUAGAUACCAAUAAAAGUUUAAACAUUGAAAAGAUACUUGUUUUAAAUGACAGUUUGUGUAAAAACACUAAGUUCCGGAUACAGAUAAAUUAUAGUGAACUCACUACAAGUGUCACUAUAGCUAAUAAAUCAUUUAUGGAGCAUAUUUAUUUUUAAUGAAUGGACAGCCUGAAUCUUUGAGCGUUAUCUUUUCUUUUUACUUUGUAUUCUUAUAUAUCACAGUAUGUGUAGUCAUUUUAGUAAUUCUUUAUGAAAUUUUGUAUAUCAUGAAAUACAAUAAUUUUACCUUUGUUGUA